rnacentral:tRNA from 1 species
CGGGGAGUAGCGCAGCUCGGCUAGCGCGCAACGUUCGGGACGUUGAGGUCCCGGGUUCAAAUCCCGGCUUCCCGACCA